UGCUGUCGUACGAUGAUACCCCGCUUGCUGGGGGAUUAGUGGCGAACGGGUGAGUAACACGUGAGUAACCUGCCCUUGACUCUGGGAUAAGCCUGGGAAACUGGGUCUAAUACCGGAUAUGACUCCUCAUCGCAUGGUGGGGGGUGGAAAGCUUUUGUGGUUUUGGAUGGACUCGCGGCCUAUCAGCUUGUUGGUGGGGUAAUGGCCUACCAAGGCGACGACGGGUAGCCGGCCUGAGAGGGUGACCGGCCACACUGGGACUGAGACACGGCCCAGACUCCUACGGGAGGCAGCAGUGGGGAAUAUUGCACAAUGGGCGCAAGCCUGAUGCAGCGACGCCGCGUGAGGGAUGACGGCCUUCGGGUUGUAAACCUCUUUCAGUAGGGAAGAAGCGUAAGUGACGGUACCUGCAGAAGAAGCGCCGGCUAACUACGUGCCAGCAGCCGCGGUAAUACGUAGGGCGCAAGCGUUAUCCGGAAUUAUUGGGCGUAAAGAGCUCGUAGGCGGUUUGUCGCGUCUGCUGUGAAAGACCGGGGCUCAACUCCGGUUCUGCAGUGGGUACGGGCAGACUAGAGUGCAGUAGGGGAGACUGGAAUUCCUGGUGUAGCGGUGAAAUGCGCAGAUAUCAGGAGGAACACCGAUGGCGAAGGCAGGUCUCUGGGCUGUAACUGACGCUGAGGAGCGAAAGCAUGGGGAGCGAACAGGAUUAGAUACCCUGGUAGUCCAUGCCGUAAACGUUGGGCACUAGGUGUGGGGGACAUUCCACGUUUUCCGCGCCGUAGCUAACGCAUUAAGUGCCCCGCCUGGGGAGUACGGCCGCAAGGCUAAAACUCAAAGGAAUUGACGGGGCCCGCACAAGCGGCGGAGCAUGCGGAUUAAUUCGAUGCAACGCGAAGAACCUUACCAAGGCUUGACAUGAACCG
rnacentral:rRNA from 1 species